rnacentral:rRNA from 1 species
AGCUUGCUCCCUGAUGUUAGCGGCGGACGGGUGAGUAACACGUGGGUAACCUGCCUGUAAGACUGGGAUAACUCCGGGAAACCGGGGCUAAUACCGGAUGGUUGUUUGAACCGCAUGGUUCAAACAUAAAAGGUGGCUUCGGCUACCACUUACAGAUGGACCCGCGGCGCAUUAGCUAGUUGGUGAGGUAACGGCUCACCAAGGCAACGAUGCGUAGCCGACCUGAGAGGGUGAUCGGCCACACUGGGACUGAGACACGGCCCAGACUCCUACGGGAGGCAGCAGUAGGGAAUCUUCCGCAAUGGACGAAAGUCUGACGGAGCAACGCCGCGUGAGUGAUGAAGGUUUUCGGAUCGUAAAGCUCUGUUGUUAGGGAAGAACAAGUACCGUUCGAAUAGGGCGGUACCUUGACGGUACCUAACCAGAAAGCCACGGCUAACUACGUGCCAGCAGCCGCGGUAAUACGUAGGUGGCAAGCGUUGUCCGGAAUUAUUGGGCGUAAAGGGCUCGCAGGCGGUUUCUUAAGUCUGAUGUG